GAUGAACGCUGGCGGCGUGCCUAAUACAUGCAAGUCGAGCGAACGGACGAGAAGCUUGCUUCUCUGAUGUUAGCGGCGGACGGGUGAGUAACACGUGGAUAACCUACCUAUAAGACUGGGAUAACUUCGGGAAACCGGAGCUAAUACCGUAUAAUAUUUUGAACCGCAUGAUUCAAAAGUGAAAGACGGUCUUGCUGUCACUUAUAGAUGGAUCCGCGCUGCAUUAGAUAGUUGGUAAGGUAACGGCUUACCAAGGCAACGAUGCAUAGCCGACCUGAGAGGGUGAUCGGCGACCUUGGAACUGAGACACGGUCCAGACUCCUACGGGAGGCAGCAGUAGGGAAUGUUCCGCAAUGGGCGAAAGCCUGACGGAGCAACGCCGCGUGAGUGAUGAAGGUCUUCGGAUCGUAAAACUCUGUUAUUAGGGAAGAACAUAUGUGUAAGUAACUGUGCACAUCGUGACGGUACCUAAUCAGAAAGCCACGGCUAACUACGUG
rnacentral:rRNA from 1 species